GGAUUAGAUACCCUGGUAGUCCACGCCGUAAACGAUGAGUACUUGGUGUCGGGGGAUUCGACCCCUUCGGUACCGGAGCUAACGCAUUAAGUACUCCGCCUGGGAACUACGACCGCAAGGUUGAAACUCAAAGGAAUUGACGGGGACCCGCACAAGCGGUGGAACAUGUGGUUUAAUUCGAUGCAACGCGAAGAACCUUACCUGGGCUUGACAUAUUCAUGAAAACUCUGUGAAAGCAGAGCCUUCUGCGAGCUUGCUCAAAGACAUGAUUACAGGUGAUGCAUGGCUGUCGUCAGCUCGUGCCG
rnacentral:rRNA from 1 species